rnacentral:tRNA from 1 species
GCCGACUUAGCUCAGCAGGUAGAGCACAUCCAUGGUAAGGAUGGGGUCUCCAGUUCGAAUCUGGAAGUCGGCUCCA